GGAAGUAAAGGUCGUAACAAGGUUUCCGUAGGUGAACCUGCGGAAGGAUCAUUAGUGAAUCUGAUAUAUAGAUCGCAUCCUUUUGUGAAGCCAAUGGCCAAAUAUAUUGAUUGAUUUAGGGAUUAAACAUGUUGAUUCUUGCGAGUCGACGGCCCCCAAAAAGAUCACAAAUCUUUUUUUAAAACCCAAUUUCUUAUUUAUCUGACUGAUUAUUUUAUAUCAAUAAUAUUGAAAAAAAUAACUUUCAACAACGGAUCUCUUGGUUCUC
rnacentral:misc_RNA from 1 species